AUGCACGCUGGCGGCGUGCCUAAUACAUGCAAGUCGAGCGCACGGACGAGAAGCUUGCUUCUCUGAUGUUAGCGGCGGACGGGUGAGUAACACGUGGAUAACCUACCUAUAAGACUGGGAUAACUUCGGGAAACCGGAGCUAAUACCGGAUGAUAUUUUGAACCGCAUGGUUCAAAAGUGAAAGACGGUCUUGCUGUCACUUAUAGAUGGAUCCGCGCUGCAUUAGCUAGUUGGUAAGGUAACGGCUUACCAAGGCAACGAUGCAUAGCCGACCUGAGAGGGUGAUCGGCCACACUGGAACUGAGACACGGUCCAGACUCCUACGGGAGGCAGCAGUAGGGAAUCUUCCGCAAUGGGCGAAAGCCUGACGGAGCAACGCCGCGUGAGUGAUGAAGGUCUUCGGAUCGUAAAACUCUGUUAUUAGGGAAGAACAUAUGUGUAAGUAACUGUGCACAUCUUGACGGUACCUAAUCAGAAAGCCACGGCUAACUACGUG
rnacentral:rRNA from 1 species